rnacentral:lncRNA from 1 species
GAAGUGGUCCAGCGUUCACGUCUCAACCACAAUCGAAAAUUACAGGUGAAUGUGUCAAUGUUCAUUGAUUCAUUCAAUGCUAAGAUAUACAUAUGCAUCGUUUGACAUGAAUUGCUAUAGCCUGAGUUGUCGUUGUUAUUUGUUAUAUGUGUGACGGUACAAGAAUGAUGACAGCAAUAAUUAAGGAAUUAUUGAAUAAUGAUGUGGCGGUGGAGUUAGGUUAAGGAGCAGUAAUAGUACGAAAAUUUCUUGGUUAUUUCUCUUUUGUUAAGGUUAGAUUAAGUUAGUGUAAAAGAUGAUAAUUAUUAUAAUAUUGAAGUUGUUAUUCUGUAAAUCUUGUUUCACAAUUGUCAUUCAUUAACUUAACAUGACAAUGUAUAAUGAAUUGGAAAAAGGGAUAACAGGAAGAAAACUGUGUACCCAGUAUUUUGUCUUUAUUAAAAGGAAAAAAGAAAAAUUAGUAUUAUGAUAUGUAUGUCCUUAUUAAGAACAAGAAACAGUGGUACAAAAGUUACUUUCGUCCUUUUUGUUUUAAAAUUAGUCAGAAUUGUUAAUAGGCAAGGAAUGUUAUUAGAUUCGUACUCUUAUGGAAAUUAUAUAUAUUGGAACAGAUUUUGAACGUUUUGAAAUUUUGAGGAAGGGCAAGGUGUUUACAAAUUAGCUUGUAUUUGGAUUCUUCGAUUGAGGUAGGUUACGGUUUAAUUAGAGUUUAGACUCAAUUUAAUUGUGUGUAUGCUCCUAAAUUGGAUACUUGUUGAUUGAUAUUUGGACAUGCUUGAAAUUGAUGAUGUUUAGAUUGUUGAGGCGUGUAUAAAUGAUUGUUGAAAAUUUACUUGAUGAAAUUGUCUUAUGACUUUAAGUGUACUUGUAAAUUUGGUACAUCGUAUUGUAUGUUGUGAGGUAGUGUAAAUUUGACAUUGAUGAUGGAUCAGGUACCACGCCGGUACGGAUAUGCAUAUUGAUAUUACUUGUUUAUGGUGGAUUGGGUACCACGCCGGUACGGAUAUGUUUAUGGUGGAUCGGGUACCACCCCGGUACGGAUAUGUAUAUUGAUAUUACUUGUUUAUGAUUGAUAGGGUACCACGUCGAUACGGAUAUGUAUAUGGUGGAUCGGGUACCACACCGGUACGAAUAUUUAUAUGGUGGAUCGGGUACCACGCCAGACGGAUAUGUAUAUGGUGGAUCGGAUACCACGCCGGUAUAGAUAUGUAUAUUGAUAUUACUUGUUUAUGGAGGAUCGGGUACCACGCUGGUACGAAUAUGUAUAUUGAUAUUACUUGUUUAUGGAGGAUCGGGUACCACGCUGGUACGAAUAUGUAUAUUGAUAUUACUUGUUUAUGGAGGAUCGGGUACCACGCUGGUACAGAGAUGAUAUUGAUAUUACUUGUUACUGAGGAUCGGGUAUCACGCCGGUAUGAUAUAUGAACAUAGAUUGUUCCCUGCACGUCAUGACUAUUUGGGCAAAAAUAAGUCUCAUAGCAUGUGUGUACAUAUUUGUGUUGAUUCUGUGGAUGUUUACAUUAUGGUUGAUACUUUUGAUGGUUAUGUGGCUUGUUUGUGAGUGUUGUUUGACCUGUUGUUGCUGUAUUGUUUAUUCAUAGAAUGUUUAUUAUGUGACAAUGUCUGUCUACGUGCUAUUUGAUUUAUGUUGUGUACAUACUAUUAAAUUGAGUUGGCCUGUGAUACCUACCAGUACAUAGUGGUUUGUACUGAUACUACCCUUUACUCUUCUUUUGUUGAGUGCAGAAAGUGUUCCAAAGGCUCAGACAUGACCUCCCCUCCAGAGUUUGAUAGCAGAUCUUGAUUCAAGGGUGAGCAUCCGUCUCCAUAACUGUCAUGGGUCAUCCUAUUUGUUCUUGUCCAUCUUUCGGGCAAUGAAACAUUUUUUAUUUACUCUAUUUUUGGAUAUCUCUUUUAGAUAUGAUCUUUGUUCGGAGUUCUUGUACGAUGAUUUUCGGGUCUUGGGGAUUUUAGCAAGUAGUUUGUUUGAUUUCCGCAUUACUAAUGAUUAGCUCCGAAUUAUUAUUCUAAGGUGGUGUUAUGAUGAUAUCGUUUUAAUAUUGACUAAGUGAUUGGGUAAUGGUUGAGUUUAGAUGGUUCUCCUACAGAAAGAUUAGUGUGGGUGUCACUCAUGGCCAUUUGGGUCGUGACAUAUAAAUAUAUAUAUAUAUAUAUAUAUAUAUAUAAUAUUAAUAAACUCACCAAGCAUCUUAUACCAUCAAACACUACGUAUUAGAGAUCAAAAUAACAUAACAUCCAUAAUGGCGAACUAGAAACUUAAGCUAAGACUAGUCUUGCCCAAUUGAUCUACAACUUAUUGUUUUGACUUCUGGAUUGAUUCAAUUGAAAUUUUAACAUUAUAAAUAAUUUUUUCCAUACAUAAUUAUAUAUAUAUAUUAAAAGUGUAAAGGACUUUAGAAAUGUUAUUUGAACUUUUUGCCCUUUAUUAAAAGACUCCGUUUUAGAUAAAAUCGUCUUUUUAUAAUUUUCUUCAAUUAUUAUUUUAUUAAAUUAAGGAAUCUUAAAUUAUAGGGGACGAACCUUACUAAAAUAAAUAUAUGAAAAUAAAUAAAUAUAUAAGUUCUAAAAUAUAUGGAAAGAAAUUAGAGGUCAUAUAGAGAGAGAGAUAGAUCGAUAUAUAGAUAGAGAGAGAAUUAAAAGUCCAAUUCUAUGUAACUAUUAAUAUUUUGCAAACAGUAAUUACUAAUAAUAUGAAAGUGUUAAGCUCCUUUGAGCAACGUUAAUUUACACAAAUUACUUUUUAAAAAUAAUUUGUAUAAAAAGAAAGAGAAGUAUGAAAGUUUUAAAGUAUCUCGUGCGUGGUUUGUUUCUUUUUGUUUAAAAAAGGGCAUAGAAGUAGAAUUCUAAUCAAAUACUAUCUUUGAAUUUUGAUGUCUAGAUAAGAUCGACUUUUAAUUCUUUGUACUCAACAUUGUUAUUUGAGAUCCUCUUUUUUAUGUCUGGCUAUAUAUUUCUUUCAAAUCCUCGUGGGAGCUUGAAAGAAGAUUAAGAUGAAUAAUUUGUUAGACACCUUAUUGAAAAUUUAUUUCAAUUAUUUUUCUUUUUAUGUGGUUUUUCAUGUUAUAAUGUGAUGUUAGAUUCAUUAUGAAAAAUUUAUUUUAACUAUUUUCUUUUAUGUGUUUUUUCAUGCUCAAAGCAUUGAUGAGAUCAAUAAUUGAAACAAAAAAUAGAAAAUAUUUUAUGAUGGAGAUCAACAUAUCUAACUACUUUCUUUUUUAUGUAGUUUUUCAUGCUCGGAGAAUCAAGAGGAUCUACAAUUAAAACUGAUAGCUAAUUGAUGGAGAUCAAAAGCAUAUCUUAAGAGUGAUUCAACUAGAUACAACAAAUCAAUUGACUCAGGAUGAGUAAUGAAAGAAUUUAAAACAUUGGUUGAUUCUUACAAAAUCAAAGAUGAAGAAAAUCCAAUGCCUCGACCUUCAUACCCAUUUGUGGAGUUGGAUUUCUACGAAAUCUUUUGCUUAUAUAUUUUUUUUUAUCAUAUCAAUUAGCAAUGUUGACUGUGAGAUCAAAAAAAAAUUAUGACCGAUAAUUAUGUCGGAAGCUUCUUUAUUCAAAAAUUGUAUUCAGUAUUUAAUAUUAUUUUCGCUAUUUGAAAAAGCUAUAAAAAAUAGAAAAAAGUUUUAUAUUAAUACAAACUAUUAUGAA